GAUCAUGGCUCAGGAUGAACGCUGGCGGCGUGCCUAACACAUGCAAGUCGAACGGGGUUAUUUUGGAAAUCUCUUCGGAGAUGGAAUUCUUAACCUAGUGGCGGACGGGUGAGUAACGCGUGAGCAAUCUGCCUUUAGGAGGGGGAUAACAGUCGGAAACGGCUGCUAAUACCGCAUAAUACGUUUGGGGGGCAUCUCUUAAACGUCAAAGAUUUUAUCGCCUUUAGAUGAGCUCGCGUCUGAUUAG
rnacentral:rRNA from 1 species